rnacentral:rRNA from 1 species
GGUCAAGCGAAUAAGCGCACACGGUGGAUGCCUUGGCGGUCAGAGGCGAUGAAGGACGUGGCAGCCUGCGAAAAGUAUCGGGGAGCUGGCAACAAGCUUUGAUCCGGUAAUGUCCGAAUGGGGAAACCCACCCGCUUGCGGGUAUCCUGCAGUGAAUACAUAGCUGCUGGAAGCGAACCUGGUGAACUGAAAUAUCUAAGUAACCAGAGGAAAAGAAAUCAACCGAGAUUCCCUGAGUAGCGACGAGCGAACGGGGACUAGCCCUUAAGCUGGAAUGGUUCUAGAAAAACAGCCUGGAACGGCUGGCCAUAGAAGGUGAUAGCCCUGUAUUUAAAAGGGCCACUCCAGUGAAGACGAGUAGGGCGGGGCACGUGAAACCCUGUCUGAACAUGGGGGGACCAUCCUCCAAGGCUAAAUACUACUGACCGACCGAUAGUGAACCAGUACCGUGAGGGAAAGGCGAAAAGAACCCCGGAGAGGGGAGUGAAAUAGAUCCUGAAACCGUGUGCGUACAAGCAGUAGGAGCUCGAAAGAGUGACUGCGUACCUUUUGUAUAAUGGGUCAGCGACUUACUGUUCGUGGCAAGCUUAACCGUAUAGGGGAGGCGAAGGGAAACCGAGUCUGAUAAGGGCGCAUAGUCGCGGGCAGUAGACCCGAAACCGGGUGAUCUAGUCAUGGCCAGGGUGAAGGUGCCGUAACAGGUACUGGAGGCCCGAACCCACGUCUGUUGCAAAAGACGGGGAUGAGCUGUGAUUAGGAGUGAAAAGCUAAUCGAACCCGGAGAUAGCUGGUUCUCCUCGAAAGCUAUUUAGGUAGCGCCUCAUAUGUAUCCUCUCGGGGGUAGAGCACUGUUAUGGCUAGGGGGUCAUCGCGACUUACCAAACCAUUGCAAACUCCGAAUACCGAGACGGACUGUAUGGGAGACACACGGCGGGUGCUAACGUCCGUCGUGAAAAGGGAAACAACCCAGACCCACAGCUAAGGUCCCAAAUUCACUGCUAAGUGGAAAACCAUGUGGAAAGGCACAGACAGCCAGGAGGUUGGCUUAGAAGCAGCCACCCUUUAAAGAAAGCGUAAUAGCUCACUGGUCGAGUCGGUCUGCGGGGAAGAUUUAACGGGGCUAAGCAGUGAACCGAAGCUUGGGGUGUGCAUAUUUAUAUGUACGCGGUAGAGGAGCGUUCCGUAAGCCGUUGAAGGUGGAUUGAGAAGUCUGCUGGAGGUAUCGGAAGUGCGAAUGCUGACAUGAGUAACGAUAAUGCGGGUGAAAAACCCGCACGCCGAAAGCCCAAGGUUUCCUUGCGCAACGUUAAUCGGCGCAGGGUGAGUCGGCCCCUAAGGCGAGGACGAAAGUCGUAGUCGAUGGGAAGCAGGUUAAUAUUCCUGCACCUCGCGUAAGUGCGAUGGAGGGACGGAGAAGGUUAGGUGUACCCGGCGUUGGUUGUCCGGGGGAAAGGCGGUAGGUUUGGAUCUUUGGCAAAUCCGGGAUCCUUUAAGACCGAGCACCGAGACGAGCCUUUAAGGCGAAGUCACUGAUACCACGCUUCCAGGAAAAGCUCCUAAGCUUCAGCUUACGCAGACCGUACCGUAAACCGACACAGGUGGGUAGGAUGAGAAUUCUCAGGCGCUUGAGAGAACUCGGGUGAAGGAACUAGGCAACAUGGCACCGUAACUUCGGGAGAAGGUGCGCCCUUUUUGGUGGCUCAUGCGAGCUAUAGCUGAAGAGGGCCGCAGUAACCAGGCCGCUGCGACUGUUUAUCAAAAACACAGCACUCUGCAAACACGAAAGUGGACGUAUAGGGUGUGACGCCUGCCCGGUGCUGGAAGGUUAAUUGAUGGGGUCAGCCGCAAGGCGAAGCUCUUGAUCGAAGCCCCAGUAAACGGCGGCCGUAACUAUAACGGUCCUAAGGUAGCGAAAUUCCUUGUCGGGUAAGUUCCGACCUGCACGAAUGGCGUAACGACAGCGGCGCUGUCUCCACCCGAGACUCAGUGAAAUUGAAAUCGCUGUGAAGAUGCAGCGUUCCCGUGGCAAGACGGAAAGACCCCGUGAACCUUUACUAUAGCUUUACACUGAACGUUGAGUUCGUCUGUGUAGGAUAGGUGGGAGGCUAUGAAACCAUGGCGCUAGCUGUGGUGGAGCCAUCCUUGAAAUACCACCCUGUCGUGCUUGACGUUCUAACCUAGGUCCAUAAUCUGGAUCGGGGACCGUGUAUGGUGGGUAGUUUGACUGGGGCGGUCUCCUCCUAAAGAGUAACGGAGGAGCUCGAAGGUACGCUCAGCGCGGUCGGACAUCGCGCACUGUGUGCAAAGGCAUAAGCGUGCUUGACUGCAAGAUCGACGGAUCAAGCAGGUAGGAAACUAGGACUUAGUGAUCCGGUGGUUCUGUAUGGAAGGGCCAUCGCUCAACGGAUAAAAGGUACUCCGGGGAUAACAGGCUGAUACCGCCCAAGAGUUCAUAUCGACGGCGGUGUUUGGCACCUCGAUGUCGGCUCAUCACAUCCUGGGGCUGUAGUCGGUCCCAAGGGUAUGGCUGUUCGCCAUUUAAAGUGGUACGCGAGCUGGGUUCAGAACGUCGUGAGACAGUUCGGUCCCUAUCUGCCAUGGGCGUUGGAGAUUUGAGAGGGGCUGCUCCUAGUACGAGAGGACCGGAGUGGACGAACCUCUGGUGUUCCGGUUGUCACGCCAGUGGCAUUGCCGGGUAGCUAUGUUCGGAAGCGAUAACCGCUGAAAGCAUCUAAGCGGGAAGCGCGCCUCAAGAUGAGAUCUCCCGGGGCACAAGCCCCCUGAAGGAACCAUAUAGACUAUGUGGUUGAUAGGUCAGGUGUGUAAGUACAGCAAUGUAUUGAGCUAACUGAUACUAAUGAUCCGUGUGGCUUGACCAU